GGGUUGUGAGGUUAAGCGACUAAGCGUACACGGUGGAUGCCCUGGCAGUCAGAGGCGAUGAAGGACGUGCUAAUCUGCGAUAAGCGUCGGUAAGGUGAUAUGAACCGUUAUAACCGGCGAUUUCCGAAUGGGGAAACCCAGUGUGAUUCGUCACACUAUCAUUAACUGAAUCCAUAGGUUAAUGAGGCGAACCGGGGGAACUGAAACAUCUAAGUACCCCGAGGAAAAGAAAUCAACCGAGAUUCCCCCAGUAGCGGCGAGCGAACGGGGAGCAGCCCAGAGCCUGAAUCAGUAUGUGUGUUAGUGGAAGCGUCUGGAAAGGCGUGCGAUACAGGGUGACAGCCCCGUACACAAAAAUGCACAUGCUGUGAGCUCGAUGAGUAGGGCGGGACACGUGGUAUCCUGUCUGAAUAUGGGGGGACCAUCCUCCAAGGCUAAAUACUCCUGACUGACCGAUAGUGAACCAGUACCGUGAGGGAAAGGCGAAAAGAACCCCGGCGAGGGGAGUGAAAAAGAACCUGAAACCGUGUACGUACAAGCAGUGGGAGCCUCUUUAAUGGGGUGACUGCGUACCUUUUGUAUAAUGGGUCAGCGACUUAUAUUCUGUAGCAAGGUUAACCGAAUAGGGGAGCCGAAGGGAAACCGAGUCUUAACUGGGCGUUAAGUUGCAGGGUAUAGACCCGAAACCCGGUGAUCUAGCCAUGGGCAGGUUGAAGGUUGGGUAACACUAACUGGAGGACCGAACCGACUAAUGUUGAAAAAUUAGCGGAUGACUUGUGGCUGGGGGUGAAAGGCCAAUCAAACCGGGAGAUAGCUGGUUCUCCCCGAAAGCUAUUUAGGUAGCGCCUCGUGAAUUCAUCUCCGGGGGUAGAGCACUGUUUCGGCAAGGGGGUCAUCCCGACUUACCAACCCGAUGCAAACUGCGAAUACCGGAGAAUGUUAUCACGGGAGACACACGGCGGGUGCUAACGUCCGUCGUGAAGAGGGAAACAACCCAGACCGCCAGCUAAGGUCCCAAAGUCAUGGUUAAGUGGGAAACGAUGUGGGAAGGCCCAGACAGCCAGGAUGUUGGCUUAGAAGCAGCCAUCAUUUAAAGAAAGCGUAAUAGCUCACUGGUCGAGUCGGCCUGCGCGGAAGAUGUAACGGGGCUAAACCAUGCACCGAAGCUGCGGCAGCGACACUAUGUGUUGUUGGGUAGGGGAGCGUUCUGUAAGCCGUUGAAGGUGGCCUGUGAGGGUUGCUGGAGGUAUCAGAAGUGCGAAUGCUGACAUAAGUAACGAUAAAGCGGGUGAAAAGCCCGCUCGCCGGAAGACCAAGGGUUCCUGUCCAACGUUAAUCGGGGCAGGGUGAGUCGACCCCUAAGGCGAGGCCGAAAGGCGUAGUCGAUGGGAAACAGGUUAAUAUUCCUGUACUUGGUGUUACUGCGAAGGGGGGACGGAGAAGGCUAUGUUGGCCGGGCGACGGUUGUCCCGGUUUAAGCGUGUAGGCUGAUUUUCCAGGCAAAUCCGGAGAAUCAAGGCUGAGGCGUGAUGACGAGGCACUACGGUGCUGAAGCAACAAAUGCCCUGCUUCCAGGAAAAGCCUCUAAGCAUCAGGUAACAUCAAAUCGUACCCCAAACCGACACAGGUGGUCAGGUAGAGAAUACCAAGGCGCUUGAGAGAACUCGGGUGAAGGAACUAGGCAAAAUGGUGCCGUAACUUCGGGAGAAGGCACGCUGAUAUGUAGGUGAAGCGACCUGCUCGUGGAGCUGAAAUCAGUCGAAGAUACCAGCUGGCUGCAACUGUUUAUUAAAAACACAGCACUGUGCAAACACGAAAGUGGACGUAUACGGUGUGACGCCUGCCCGGUGCCGGAAGGUUAAUUGAUGGGGUCAGCCGCAAGGCGAAGCUCUUGAUCGAAGCCCCGGUAAACGGCGGCCGUAACUAUAACGGUCCUAAGGUAGCGAAAUUCCUUGUCGGGUAAGUUCCGACCUGCACGAAUGGCGUAAUGAUGGCCAGGCUGUCUCCACCCGAGACUCAGUGAAAUUGAACUCGCUGUGAAGAUGCAGUGUACCCGCGGCAAGACGGAAAGACCCCGUGAACCUUUACUAUAGCUUGACACUGAACAUUGAGCCUUGAUGUGUAGGAUAGGUGGGAGGCUUAGAAGUGUGGACGCCAGUCUGCAUGGAGCCGACCUUGAAAUACCACCCUUUAAUGUUUGAUGUUCUAACGUGGACCCGUGAUCCGGGUUGCGGACAGUGUCUGGUGGGUAGUUUGACUGGGGCGGUCUCCUCCUAAAGAGUAACGGAGGAGCACGAAGGUUGGCUAAUCCUGGUCGGACAUCAGGAGGUUAGUGCAAUGGCAUAAGCCAGCUUGACUGCGAGCGUGACGGCGCGAGCAGGUGCGAAAGCAGGUCAUAGUGAUCCGGUGGUUCUGAAUGGAAGGGCCAUCGCUCAACGGAUAAAAGGUACUCCGGGGAUAACAGGCUGAUACCGCCCAAGAGUUCAUAUCGACGGCGGUGUUUGGCACCUCGAUGUCGGCUCAUCACAUCCUGGGGCUGAAGUAGGUCCCAAGGGUAUGGCUGUUCGCCAUUUAAAGUGGUACGCGAGCUGGGUUUAGAACGUCGUGAGACAGUUCGGUCCCUAUCUGCCGUGGGCGCUGGAGAACUGAGGGGGGCUGCUCCUAGUACGAGAGGACCGGAGUGGACGCAUCACUGGUGUUCGGGUUGUCAUGCCAAUGGCACUGCCCGGUAGCUAAAUGCGGAAGAGAUAAGUGCUGAAAGCAUCUAAGCACGAAACUUGCCCCGAGAUGAGUUCUCCCUGAGACUUUAAGUCUCCUGAAGGAACGUUGAAGACGACGACGUUGAUAGGCCGGGUGUGUAAGCGCAGCGAUGCGUUGAGCUAACCGGUACUAAUGAACCGUGAGGCUUAACCUUACAACGCCGAAG
rnacentral:rRNA from 1 species